rnacentral:rRNA from 1 species
ACCAUGCAGUCGACGGCAGCACGACAGAGCUUGCUCUCUUGGUGGCGAGUGGCGGACGGGUGAGUAAUAUAUCGGAACGUGCCUAGUAGCGGGGGAUAACUACUCGAAAGAGUGGCUAAUACCGCAUACGCCCUACGGGGGAAAGGGGGGGAUCGCAAGACCUCUCACUAUUAGAGCGGCCGAUAUCGGAUUAGCUAGUUGGUGGGGUAAAGGCUCACCAAGGCAACGAUCCGUAGCUGGUUUGAGAGGACGACCAGCCACACUGGGACUGAGACACGGCCCAAACUCCUACGGGAGGCAGCAGUGGGGAAUUUUGGACAAUGGGGGAAACCCUGAUCCAGCCAUCCCGCGUGUAUGAUGAAGGCCUUCGGGUUGUAAAGUACUUUUGGCAGAGAAGAAAAGGUACCUCCUAAUACGAUGUACUACUGACGGUAUCUGCAAAAUAAGCACCGGCUAACUACGUG